rnacentral:rRNA from 1 species
AGCGGCCGCGGUAAUUCCAGCUCCAAUAGCGUAUAUUAAAGUUGCUGCAGUUAAAAAGCUCGUAGUUGAAUUUCGGGAUCAAUAUGUUGGUCGUGCCUCGGUACGUACUAGCUUAUUGGUUUCUCCCUUCUGACGAACCAUGAUGUCAUUUAUUUGGUGUUAUGAGGAAUCAGGACUGUUACUUUGAAAAAAUUAGAGUGUUUAAAGCAGGCUCACGCUUGAAUACAUUAGCAUGGAAUAAUGAAAUAGGACGUUUGGUUCUAUUUUGUUGGUUUCUAGGAUCGACGUAAUGAUUAAUAGGGAUAGUUGGGGGCAUUAGUAUUCAAUUGUCAGAGGUGAAAUUCUUGGAUUUAUUGAAGACUAACUACUGCGAAAGCAUUUGCCAAGGAUGUUUUCAUUAAUCAAGAACGAAAGUUAGGGGAUCGAAGACGAUCAGAUACCGUCGUAGUCUUAACCAUAAACUAUGCCGACUAGGGAUCGGAUGAUGUUAAUUUUUUAAUGACUCAUUCGGCGCCUUAAC